ACUCCUGCGGGAGGCAGCAGUGGGGAAUAUUGGACAAUGGGCGCAAGCCUGAUCCAGCCAUGCCGCGUGAGUGAUGAAGGCCCUAGGGUUGUAAAGCUCUUUCACCGGUGAAGAUAAUGACUGUAACCGGAGAAGAAGCCCCGGCUAACUUCGUGCCAGCAGCCGCGGUAAUACGAAGGGGGCUAGCGUUGUUCGGAUUUACUGGGCGUAAAGCGCACGUAGGCGGACUAUUAAGUCAGGGGUGAAAUCCCGGGGCUCAACCCCGGAACUGCCUUUGAUACUGGUAGUCUUGAGUUCGAGAGAGGUGAGUGGAAUUCCGAGUGUAGAGGUGAAAUUCGUAGAUAUUCGGAGGAACACCAGUGGCGAAGGCGGCUCACUGGCUCGAUACUGACGCUGAGGUGCGAAAGCGUGGGGAGCAAACAGGAUUAGAAACCCUGGUAGUCCC
rnacentral:rRNA from 1 species